rnacentral:rRNA from 1 species
UUGAACGCUGGCGGCAUGCCUUACACAUGCAAGUCGAACGGUAACAGGUCUUCGGAUGCUGACGAGUGGCGAACGGGUGAGUAAUACAUCGGAACGUGCCCGCUCGUGGGGGAUAACGGAGCGAAAGCUUUGCUAAUACCGCAUACGAUCUACGGAUGAAAGCAGGGGACCGCAAGGCCUUGCGCGGACGGAGCGGCCGAUGGCAGCUUAGGUAGUUGGUGGGAUAAAAGCUUACCAAGCCGACGAUCUGUAGCUGGUCUGAGAGGACGACCAGCCACACUGGGACUGAGACACGGCCCAGACUCCUACGGGAGGCAGCAGUGGGGAAUUUUGGACAAUGGGCGAAAGCCUGAUCCAGCCAUGCCGCGUGAGUGAAGAAGGCCGUCGGGUUGUAAAGCUCUUGCAGACGGAAAGAAAGCGGGCGGGUGAAGAGCCUGCCUGGAUGACGGUACUGUCAGAAGAAGCACCGGCUAACUACG